CGGAAGUUGGAAAUUUGUGAAAGUCUUUAUUUUAUGAUGUUUAAGUUUAAAGCAAAUUUAUAUUCUGCUUUCAAUUAAGUGUUACGGAUCGAGGUUAGAUCGGAUGUUUUUUCACUUGGAAAAUUCCUUUUCCAUAGUAUGAUGUGACCUGCAUAGCUGAGUCAGGUGUUUAGUUCCGUUAUACGCUAGAUUGCGUAAUGACAUUAGGCCAAGUGGCAGUGACAUUCCUUUUUUUAUUGUAUGCAUGAAUUAGUCCGUAUGUUAACGUACGUACGUACGUACGCGGCAUGGGCGAGUAGUUCUAUCUUGGGUGUGGUUAGCUCAGACACCAAUUGAGCAUCCACAUGCACGGACGUGUUCUAGGUCGGGCAAGCUCUGGUUUUGGAGAUUCUUCGGCUGGGAGAUAUGGGACUACAGCUGGUCCAGGCCUACAUGUAGGUGAUGACUGCAUUUCUGCUCGUAGCAGUGAUAUGACGGGUAGUGAGUGACUGUGGAGUUUGCAGUCUGGUUGUUGCAGCUUGUUGCUUGACAUUUGUUUGACCUUGGGUAGGCAACUUUUGAUGUUUAUCAUGCAAUGUUUAAUCAGUGAGCUAUUUGAUCAAUGUUUUACCAUGUUUUGUAAAUGCUUUCAAAUAAUAUUAUAAAGGAUGAUUUAUCGAGGAAAUGAAUUUAUUCUUUAUCAGAGGGUUUGAUAAGAUACUGCACUUUAUGGAGUUAGGCGUAAUUUUAUUCAUGUCUUAUAUCUGGUUGAUGACUAAGAUGCUUUGAUGAUUAAGAUGCUUUGAAUAUUUAGAUAAAUAUUAUUUGAUUAUGAGGAAUCUCUAACUAAAGUACGAGACACACAUAUAUUGUUUGUAACAAUAUAUGAUUAUUCGAUGACUAUAGAAGUUUGUUUGGUUUUUAUACAAUACAUGCAUAUUGAAUAUGUAUGUCAACGAUGAUAUUGAAUUAUUUGAAUCUGUAAUGUGAUACAAGUGAUUUAUCACCGAUUUUAUCUGUAUCUUUACAGGGUUUUUUGUUACGACACAGAAAAAACCUCAUAGACCUUAA